ACAGACACCUGGACUGUUUCCACGUUUUCUCUAGAGCUGAAGGGAGCUAUGACAACGUGAUGUACUGACUCAACAAGAAGUCACCCAUUUCCCAGGAGGAGUCCCGACUGCUGCAGCUGCUCAACAAGGCGUUCCCCUGCAUCACGCGCACCGUGGUGCUGAAAUGGUCCGUCACCCAGGUGCUGGACAUCACGGAGCAGCUGGAUGCCGGUGUGCGGUACUUAGACCUGCAGAUUGCCCUUAUGCUGGACGGCUCUGAGAAGAACCUGCACUUUGUUCACAUGGUAUACACCAUGGCACCGGUGGAGGAAAUGACCACACCUGCAGCUUCUACGGUUUUCAUGGGAGAGGCAGCCACUCAGCCUCCCCCACCCCAGUGAUCCCCACCCUGAAGGUGCUGAGACUUCUCCUGCUCAGAAGCAGGGUCUGAAUUCCUGCAACACAGACACACACUUGUGUUCUCCAUCCCACCCUCCCCUGCAAGCUGCCAUUUGGGCCACCCCUGAGAGCCAUGAGGAGAGCAAAGAUGACCCCAACAGUGAUGUCAACAAGGACUGAUGCGGCUCAGGAAGAUCCUUCAAAAGUUGCUGGAGACAAAGGGAGGUGUCCACCCCGAGGAGAGGCACCAAUGUCACCUUGAUGGGUGACAGUGUGUGAUGGGGACACAUGUAACAUAUCACUGGCACCGAGAGCACCUCAAAAAAAUGCUCAAUAGAGCCUCCUUAGGUAAGCAAAAAGCAAGCUGCCAAAGCACCCACACAGAAUGAGGCCACUGAAACCCGACCACAGCAGCAGGGCGAGGCUGCACCCAAGGGAUGAGACCACUGAAACCUGACCACAGCGGCAGGGUGAGGCUGCACCCAUGGGACGAGGCCACUGAAACCCGACCACAGGGGCAGGGCGAUGCUGCACCCACAGUAUGAGGCCACUGAAACCCGACCACAGCGGCAGGUCGAGGCUGCACCCAUGGGACGAGGCCACUGAAACCCGACCACAGCGGCAGGGCGAGGCUGCACCCAAGGGACGAGGCCACUGAAACCCGACACAGUGGCAGGGCGAGGCUGCACCCACAGGACGAGGCCACUGAAACCUGACUACAGCAGCAGGGCGAGGCUGCACCCACGGGAUGAGGCCACUGAAACCACACCACAGUGGCAGAGUGAGGCUGCACCCAUGGGAUGAGGCCAGUGAAACCCAAGCACAAUGGCAGGGCGAGGCUGCACCCGUGGGACGAAUUCACUGAAAUCCAACCACAGCAGCAGGGCAAGGCUGCACCUGUGGGAUGAAGCCACCGAAACCCGAUCACAGUGGCAGGGUGAGGCUAUGUACACAGGACGAGGCCACUGAAACCGACCAUAAUGGCAGGGCGAGGCUGCACCCAUGGGAUGAAUUCACUCAAAUCUGAUCACAGCAGUAGGGUGAGGCUGCACCUACAAGAUGAGGCCACUGAAACCCAACCACAGUGACAGGGCAAGGCUGCACCCAGCAUAGGGAGAAGAGAUAUCCAUGGAAAAACAAAGCUGUCUUCAACUGCUUGGGAAUUAAUCACCAAAUUCAGGCCAGUGCUGCCUCUGUUGCUUUCAUAAAACACCCAUGUUUUAUGGUUUUUUUUUUUUUUGAUUAAAAAGUUUAUUCAAGGAUAACAUUAGACACAUUGUAAUUACUCCCACUGGAAACAUAGUAUAGAAAAAAAGGUUUGGGGUACAAAAAAGGAAAUUUAACGAGGCAGGUUUUCUUUUUAUUGCAAUGUCAGCCCUAAUUCUUCACACACAGCUGAGGCCAAACAUAAUCUGGAUCUGGAUUUGAUAAUUUAUGUCUUAAGUGGGGCAGUGAAUAUGUUAUUUUUUUCACUUAAUUUUGUAUUUUGAAAUAGUUUAAGGCUCACAGUGGCAAAAGCAGUGCAGAGGAUUCCCGUGUCCCCUUUGCCCGGGGUUGGCCUCAAACUCGGGCUCCAACGAUAGGCAGGAAACAGGUCCAGGCGUUGGUCCGGAGAGCAG
ensembl:lincRNA